rnacentral:rRNA from 1 species
UACGUAGGGGGCAAGCGUUGUCCGGAUUUAUUGGGCGUAAAGAGCGUGUAGGCGGCCUGGAAGGUCAGCUGUGAAAACUCGAGGCUCAACCUCGAGACGUCGGUUGAAACCACCUGGCUAGAGUCCGGAAGAGGAGUGUGGAAUUCCCGGUGUAGCGGCGGAAUGCGUAGAGAUCGGGAGGAACAUCAGUGGCGAAGGCGGCCAUCUGGGACAACACUGACGCUGAAGCACGAAAGCGUGGGGAGCAAACAGG